UACGUAGGAGGCGAGCGUUGUCCGGAUUUACUGGGCGUAAAGCGCGCGCAGGCGGCACUUCAAGUAAGGUGUGAAAUCUCCCUGCUCAACGGGAGGGUGCACUUUAGACUGAGGAGCUAGAGGACGGUAGAGGGGGGGGUGGAAUUGCUGGUGUAGCGGUGAAAUGCGUAGAGAUCAGCAGGAACACCCGUGGCGAAGGCGGCCCCUGGGCCGUACCUGACGCUGAGGCGCGAAAGCUAGGGGAGCAAACGGG
rnacentral:rRNA from 1 species